AUUGAACGCUGGCGGCAUGCUUUACACAUGCAAGUCGGACGGCAGCACAGAGAAGCUUGCUUCUUGGGUGGCGAGUGGCGAACGGGUGAGUAAUAUAUCGGAACGUACCGAGUAAUGGGGGAUAACUAAUCGAAAGAUUAGCUAAUACCGCAUAUUCUCUGAGGAGGAAAGCAGGGGACCUUCGGGCCUUGCGUUAUUCGAGCGGCCGAUAUCUGAUUAGCUAGUUGGUGGGGUAAAGGCCUACCAAGGCGACGAUCAGUAGCGGGUCUGAGAGGAUGAUCCGCCACACUGGGACUGAGGCACGGCCCAGACUCCUACGGGAGGCAGCAGUGGGGAAUUUUGGACAAUGGGCGCAAGCCUGAUCCAGCCAUGCCGCGUGUCUGAAGAAGGCCUUCGGGUUGUAAAGGACUUUUGUCAGGGAAGAAAAGGCUGUUGCUAAUACCGACAGCUGAUGACGGUACCUGAAGAAUAAGCACCGGCUAACUACGUG
rnacentral:rRNA from 1 species